GAUGAACGCUGGCGGCGUGCCUAAUACAUGCAAGUCGAGCGAACAGAUGAGGAGCUUGCUCCUCUGACGUUAGCGGCGGACGGGUGAGUAACACGUGGAUAACCUACCUAUAAGACUAGGAUAACUUCGGGAAACCGGAGCUAAUACCGGAUAAUAUAUUGAACCGCAUGGUUCAAUAGUGAAAGACGGUUUUGCUGUCACUUAUAGAUGGAUCCGCGCCGCAUUAGCUAGUUGGUAAGGUAACGGCUUACCAAGACAACGAUGCGUAGCCGACCUGAGAGGGUGAUCGGCCACACUGGAACUGAGACACGGUCCAGACUCCUACGGGAGGCAGCAGUAGGGAAUCUUCCGCAAUGGGCGAAAGCCUGACGGAGCAACGCCGCGUGAGUGAUGAAGGUCUUCGGAUCGUAAAACUCUGUUAUUAGGGAAGAACAAAUGUGUAAGUAACUAUGCACGUCUUGACGGUACCUAAUCAGAAAGCCACGGCUAACUACGUG
rnacentral:rRNA from 1 species